rnacentral:rRNA from 1 species
AGUGAACGCUGGCGGUAGGCCUAACACAUGCAAGUCGAACGGCAGCACAGUAAGAGCUUGCUCUUACGGGUGGCGAGUGGCGGACGGGUGAGGAAUACAUCGGAAUCUACUUUUUCGUGGGGGAUAACGUAGGGAAACUUACGCUAAUACCGCAUACGACCUACGGGUGAAAGCAGUGGAUCUUCGGACCUUUCGCGAUUGAAUGAGCCGAUGUCGGAUUAGCUAGUUGGCUGGGUAAAGGCCCACCAAGGCGACGAUCCGUAGCUGGUCUGAGAGGAUGAUCAGCCACACUGGAACUGAGACACGGUCCAGACUCCUACGGGAGGCAGCAGUGGGGAAUAUUGGACAAUGGGCGCAAGCCUGAUCCAGCCAUACCGCGUGGGUGAAGAAGGCCUUCGGGUUGUAAAGCCCUUUUGUUGGGAAAGAAAAGCAGCAGGUUAAUACCCCGCUGUUCUGACGGUACCCAAAGAAUAAGCACCGGCUAACUUCGUG